UCGCCUGUUUAUCAAAAACAUCUCUUCUUGUUAGUUUUUGAAGUAUGGCCUGCCCACUGACGUUUAUUUUGUUGAAGGGCCGCGGUAUCUUGACCGUGCAAAGGUAGCAUAAUCAUUAGUUCUUUAAUUGUGAUCUGGUAUGAAUGGCUUGACGAGACAUAAGCUGUCUUAAUAGUAUUGUUUAUUGAAUUUGGUUUUUGAGUUAAAAUUCUUAAAUGUUUUUAUGGGACGAGAAGACCCUAUAGAGUUUGACAAUUUUUUGUUUAUUUAUUGUUUGUUUGGUUUUAUUAAGUGGUAAGAUUGUUUUGUUGGGGUGAUGGGAGGAAUAUAUUUAACUCCUCUUUAUUUUUAUAUAUUUAUUUAUAUUUUUUUGAUCCAUU
rnacentral:rRNA from 1 species